ACGGAAGGCAGCAGCUAAGAAUAUUCCGCAAUGGACGAAAGUCUGACGGAGCGACGCCGCGUGGAUGAUGAAGGUCGGAAGAUUGUAAAAUCCUUUUAAGUAUGAAGAAUAAGCCGGAGAGUGGAAAGCUCCGGUGGUGACCGUAGUACUUGAAUAAGCAACGGCUAAUUACGUGCCAGCAGCCGCGGUAACACGUAAGUUGCGAGCGUUGUUCGGAAUUAUUGGGCGUAAAGGGCAUGUAGGCGGUUUUGCAAGCUUGGUGUGAAAGGCAGGAGCUUAACUCCUGGACUGCGUUGAGAACUGCAAAACUAGAGUCACUGAGGGGCAAUCAGAAUUCCAGGUGUAGGGGUGAAAUCUGUAGAUAUCUGGAAGAAUACCAAUGGCGAAGGCAGGUUACCAGCAGAUGACUGACGCUGAGGUGCGAAGGUGCGGGGAGCAAACAGGAUUAGAUACCCUGGUA
rnacentral:rRNA from 1 species